rnacentral:rRNA from 1 species
GAUGAACGCUAGCGGCAGGCCUAGCACAUGCAAGUCGAGGGGUAACUAGAGUGAUAGCAAUAUUACUUUGGCUAGACCGGCGCACGGGUGCGUAACACGUAUGCAACCUACCUUAUACUGGGGAAUAACUUCGAGAAAUCGGCGCUAAUACCCCAUAACACUGCGGAGAGGCAUCUCUUUGCAGUUAAAGCUCCGGCGGUAUAAGAUGGGCAUGCGUCCAAUUAGCUAGUUGGUGAGGUAACGGCGCACCAAGGCUACGAUUGGUAGGGGUUCUAGCAGGAUCAUCCCCCACGCUGGUACUGAGACACGGACCAGACUCCUACUGGAGUCAGCAGUGAGGAAUAUUGCGAAAUGGACGAAAGUCUGACGCAGCCAUGCCGCGUGCAGGAUGACGGCCCUAUGGGUUGUAAACUGCUUUUGUACGGGAAUAAACCCUUCUACGUGUAGGAGGCUGAAGGUACCGUAAGAAUAAGCACCGGCUAACUCCGUGCCAGCCGCCGCCGUAA